rnacentral:rRNA from 1 species
UUUAUCGGAGAGUUUGAUCCUGGCUCAGGACGAACGCUGGCGGCGUGCCUAAUACAUGCAAGUCGAGCGGACAGAUGGGAGCUUGCUCCCUGAUGUUAGCGGCGGACGGGUGAGUAACACGUGGGUAACCUGCCUGUAAGACUGGGAUAACUCCGGGAAACCGGGGCUAAUACCGGAUGGUUGUCUGAACCGCAUGGUUCAGACAUAAA